rnacentral:rRNA from 1 species
GAUGAACGCUAGCGGGAGGCCUAACACAUGCAAGCCGAGCGGUAGAGUUUCUUCGGAAACUUGAGAGCGGCGCACGGGUGCGUAACACGUGUGCAACCUACCUUUAUCUGGGGGAUAGCCUUUCGAAAGGAAGAUUAAUACCCCAUAAUAUAAUGAUUGGAAUCAAUUAUUAUUAAAACCUCCGGUGGAUAGAGAUGGGCACGCGCAAGAUUAGAUAGUUGGUGAGGUAACGGCUCACCAAGUCAAUGAUCUUUAGGGGUCCUGAGAGGGAGAUCCCCCACACUGGUACUGAGACACGGACCAGACUCCUACGGGAGGCAGCAGUGAGGAAUAUUGGACAAUGGGUGAGAGCCUGAUCCAGCCAUCCCGCGUGAAGGAUGACGGUCCUAUGGAUUGUAAACUUCUUUUGUACAGGGAUAAACCUACCCUCGUGAGGGUAGCUGAAGGUACUGUACGAAUAAGCACCGGCUAACUCCGUG